UACGUAGGGUGCAAGCGUUGUCCGGAAUUAUUGGGCGUAAAGAGCUCGUAGGCGGUUUGUUGCGUCGGCUGUGAAAUCCCGAGGCUCAACCUCGGGUCUGCAGUCGAUACGAGCAAACUAGAGUGUUGCAGGGGAGACUGGAAUUCCUGGUGUAGCGGUGAAAUGCGCAGAUAUCUGGAGGAAUACCGGUGGCGAAGGCGGCAUCCUGGACCAUUACUGACGCUGAGGCGCGAAAGCUAGGGGAGCAAACGGG
rnacentral:rRNA from 1 species